rnacentral:rRNA from 1 species
AUACAUGAGCAAAAUCUCAACUUUAUUAGAAGAGACGCAUUUAUUAGAUAAAAAGCCAAUGCAUGCUUUUACAGUAUGAAAGUUGGUGAUUUAUAAUAGCUUAGCAAAUCGCAUAGUGAAAACAGGCGAUAAAUCAUUCAAGUUUCUGACCUAUCAGCUUUCGACGGUAUGGUAUUGGCUUACCGUGGCAGUGACGGUUAACGGGGGAUUAGGGUUCGAUUCCGGAGAGGGAGCCUGAGAAACGGCUACCACAUCUAAGGAAGGCAGCAGGCGCGCAAAUUACCCAAUUCUAACAGUUUGAGAGAGGUAGUAACAAGAAAUAACAAUACAAGGCAGUUAAAAUGCUUUGUAAUUGGAAUGAUAGAAAUUUAAACCCUUUUUAAAGUAUCAAUUGGAGGGCAAGUCUGGUGCCAGCAGCCGCGGUAAUUCCAGCUCCAAUAGCGUAUAUUAAAAUUGUUGCAGUUAAAAAGCUCGUAGUUGAAGUUCUGCCAAAAGUAACCGGUCUGCUUUGAAUAAAAGUGGUAUCUUGGUAUGUAUUUAGCAAUGAUGUCCUUUGAAGUGUUUUUUACUUUAUUGUAAUAAAGCAUAUUCAGGACUUUUACUUUGAGAAAAUUAGAGUGUUUCUAGCAGGCCAACGCUUUGAAUACUGCAGCAUGGAAUAAUAAG